GCACGCACAUUUUUAGAACCGAAUUUGAAUUAGAAAAUAAUAUCNGAUAUUAUUUUCUAAUUCAAAUUCGGUUCUAAAAAUGUGCGUGCA
rnacentral:pre_miRNA from 13 species